rnacentral:lncRNA from 1 species
CUGAAAACCAGAGCUCGUCCGUGGCUUCACUUGUUUUGGACUAAGGAGCUGAGGAGCGUGCAAGACUGUACUUGGAGAAUCUGUUUCUUGCUGCCAUUUCGUCACUGAACACUAUUUUUUUUCUCCUUCUUUUUUUGUAAGAAAAGGAGAACACAUAAAACCCCACCAGAACAAACUCCACUCGGCCCUGAAAGUAUUUACAAUCACGGCCCUGAAAGUACUGAAAGUAUUUACAAUCACGUUACAGUUCAUUCACUGCUGCAGAACCUCUCUCCAGCGAUCAAGGUCGAAGGGAGCCGACGUCGCCCUCUAUCGGCUCCCUGCUGCACUAGAAGGAUCGGGAAGAUGGAGGCUCCUGAAGAGCUGUAGAAGCGCAUCCUAGGCAGAAGCCCAGCAGACAGCAAAGGGCCUGGUUUGUUCAAGGAACUGGAGGGCAAGAAAAUCAGGAGCCAAUUCAUGCAGGGCACAGUUAGCCAAGCCGGACUCACUCAGGAGGCCCUUCAUCUUCAUGUUCCCCACAUAGCAGAGGGGAGGGCAGAAGAUGAGAGGGAGGAGAGAGCAGAGCCAAGAGCCUCCUUUUCUCCCACUGUGCCCCUCCUAUGUGUGGCUCUGGACACCAGGAACCACCCAAGGACAGUGGGACUCCUCGAAAAGAUAAUUGCUCAUGAGGGAUCCAAGAGCAAGGCUUGUUACAUCCUAUAACCUUCACACAAAAUAUUGACUGAGAAUCCUCCAUGUGCCAAGUACUGUUCAAAAACACUGGGAACCCAGCAGGGAUGAGCCACAAGUUUCCUUGUCUUUACGAAGCUUUCAUUCUGAGGGAGUGGAGAGAGACAAGCAAUAAACAACCAAUCAAAACAAAGAUGACUCCUCUGAGUGUUGUGAUAUGCGGGUCAAGGAGGAUGGCUCCCAGGAUGUGACCUCAGAGCAGAAGCCUGGAGGCUUGCCAGCAGCGGGAAGAGCAGCGGCAGGGCACUGCAGGCAGAGGUGACCAAAAGCGUGAAACCUUGAGCUGGGAAGCACGUGGUCUGCUGGAAAGUGGGCUGAUGUAUUUGAAGAGAGCAAGGAGCAGAAUGGUACAAUGGGGUGAUGGGGGAAGAGCCAGGCAGAGCCCAGUGCUGCAAAGCCCGGUAGCACAUACAUGUGUAACGUACCUUGAAGCAAAUGAAUGGCCUGAUCUGGUUUCUGUUUUGGCUGCUCUGUGGUGAUGUGGUGCCUGGGAGGCAAAGAAGCUGGGAAAGAAGCGGUUUUUCUCUUCUAGGUACUUUAAAGCUCUAUAAUAUAUGCUCAGGUGAAAUUUGGCU